rnacentral:lncRNA from 1 species
UUAGCUUGAGAUUUAGGUAAGUAAUGAAGGUAAUGUAUACUAUAUGCUAAACUUUUGAUGGGAAGUUUUGAUCUUUACCUUCUAAUUGAUAUAUAACCUGAAAUCUUGUAUAGAAAUAGGUAGAUUAUUUGCUUAAACUACAAAUGUUUGCAAAGAAAUCAAGGAUCUCUUAACUAUGGCAGCAAUUAACUUAAUUAUUUAUAGAGUUCUAUUUUUUUUUAGAAGGAAUGGUAUUAAACAAAAUGAUUAUGUUGAGAAAUGAAUUGAUUAUUAUGUAAAACAUGAAUUUUGGUGGAGAAACUUAAAGGCAGCAACUAUAUUGUUCAUCUUGAUGAGUUUGAUAACGAUGAGAUUAGAAACGGUAUAUUANNN